UCCUGGUCCAAAGGUAGUGAGUUAUUGCAACUGAUUGUUCACAGUUAAAGAUCAAACUUCCUUGUUCUACUCUUUUCCCCCUUCUCACUACUGCACUUGACUAGUUGU
rnacentral:Y_RNA from 1 species